UACGUAGGGGGCUAGCGUUGUCCGGAAUCAUUGGGCGUAAAGCGCGUGUAGGCGGUCCGGUAAGUCCGCUGUGAAAGUCGGGGGCUCAACCCUCGAAUGCCGGUGGAUACUGUCGGGCUAGAGUGCGGAAGAGGCGAGUGGAAUUCCUGGUGUAGCGGUGAAAUGCGCAGAUAUCAGGAGGAACACCAAUUGCGAAGGCAGCGCGCUGGGACGUUACUGACGCUGAGGAGCGAAAGCCAGGGGAGCAAACGGG
rnacentral:rRNA from 1 species